rnacentral:rRNA from 1 species
CCUACGGGCGGCAGCAGUGGGGAAUAUUGGACAAUGGGCGAAAGCCUGAUCCAGCCAUGCCGCGUGUGUGAAGAAGGCCUUCGGGUUGUAAAGCACUUUCAGUGGGGAAGAAAGCCUUGGGGCUAAUACCCUCGAGGAAGGACAUCACCCACAGAAGAAGCACCGGCUAACUCCGUGCCAGCAGCCGCGGUAAUACGGAGGGUGCGAGCGUUAAUCGGAAUUACUGGGCGUAAAGCGCGCGUAGGCGGUCUGAUAAGCCGGUUGUGAAAGCCCCGGGCUCAACCUGGGAACGGCAUCCGGAACUGUCAGGCUAGAGUGCAGGAGAGGAAGGUAGAAUUCCCGGUGUAGCGGUGAAAUGCGUAGAGAUCGGGAGGAAUACCAGUGGCGAAGGCGGCCUCCUGGACUGACACUGACGCUGAGGUGCGAAAGCGAGGGUAGCAAACAGGAUUAGAUACCCCGGUAGUC